rnacentral:lncRNA from 1 species
AUUCCAGGAAAAAGAGAUAUUAAUGGAUUAAUAUUAAUUCUAUAUAUACAUAUAUACAUAUAUACACACACAAUUUUUAAAAAGAGAAUUAAAGUAGAGCUGGGGCAAUUGUGGAACACACCUUCAACCUCAGGCAGAUUUCUGCGUUCAAGGUCACCCUGACUUACAAGUCAGCUAGGGCUAGAGAAAUCAUAUAUCAGAAAAAAAACGAAAAAAAUAAUAGAAAGACAGAAAGACAGACAGACAGACAGAAAGAAAGAAAGAGAGAGAGAGAAAGAGAGAGAGAGA